GAAAUGCGAUAAGUAAUGUGAAUUGCAGAAUUCAGUGAAUCAUCGAAUCUUUGAACGCACCUUGCGCCCUCUGGUAUUCCGGAGGGCAUGCCUGUUUGAGUGUCAUUAAAUUCUCAACUUCAAUAGUUUUUAAUAACUUAUUGAAGCUUGGAUGUGGAGGUUUGCUGGCGUCUUAGAUGUUCGGCUCCUCUUAAAUGCAUUAGUGGAACCCGUUUGUUGGAUUAUCCUUGGUGUGAUAAUUAUCUACGCUUUGGUUACUUCAAUGRCUUUAUUGGGCUUUCUUCAGACGCUUUCAGUGUUCUGGUUUGGGUUUUUGCAUUAGUUUGCUAUACCUGGCUCAUUAAAGUAGGGAUUUUCUGCUCUCUAACUGUCUGUGUAUGCGGACAAUUACUUUGACUAUUUGACCUCAAAUCAGGUAGGACUACCCGCUGAACUUAA
rnacentral:rRNA from 1 species